AUUGAACGCUGGCGGCAGGCCUAACACAUGCAAGUCGAGCGGAUGAAGGGAGCUUGCUCCUGGAUUCAGCGGCGGACGGGUGAGUAAUUCCUAGGAAUCUGCCUGGUAGUGGGGGAUAACGUCCGGAAACGGGCGCUAAUACCGCAUACGUCCUGAGGGAGAAAGUGGGGGAUCUUCGGACCUCACGCUAUCAGAUGAGCCUAGGUCGGAUUAGCUAGUUGGUGGGGUAAAGGCCUACCAGGGCGACGAUCCGUAACUGGUCUGAGAGGAUGAUCAGUCACACUGGAACUGAGACACGGUCCAGACUCCUACGGGAGGCAGCAGUGGGGAAUAUUGGACAAUGGGCGAAAGCCUGAUCCAGCCAUGCCGCGUGUGUGAAGAAGGUCUUCGGAUUGUAAAGCACUUUAAGUUGGGAGGAAGAGCAGUAAGUUAAUACCUUGCUGUUUUGACGUUACCAACAGAAUAAGCACCGGCUAACUUCGUG
rnacentral:rRNA from 1 species